rnacentral:rRNA from 1 species
GACAGAAGGUGCAAGCGUUACUCGGAAUUACUGGGCGUAAAGCGUCUGUAGGUUUUCAACCACGUCUGACGUGGAAAUCGCCGGGGCUCAACCCCGCGCCCACGUUGGAUACGAGUUGGAUCGAGUCAUUCAGAGGCAUCUGGAAUGUCGUGGUGUAGGGGUAAAAUCCGUAGAUACACGAUGGAGCGCCAAAAGUGAAGACAG